UACGUAGGGAGCGAGCGUUGUUCGGAUUUACUGGGCGUAAAGGGCGCGUAGGCGGCAUGACAAGUCACUUGUGAAAUCUCUGGGCUUAACCCAGAACGGCCAAGUGAUACUGUCGCGCUAGAGUGCGGAAGGGGCAAUCGGAAUUCUCGGUGUAGCGGUGAAAUGCGUAGAUAUCGAGAGGAACACCUGAGGUGAAGACGGGUUGCUGGGCCGACACUGACGCUGAGUGCGCGAAAGCCAGGGGAGCAAACGGG
rnacentral:rRNA from 1 species